rnacentral:rRNA from 1 species
CAGGGAGGUAGUGACGAUAAAUAACAAUGAUUCAAUGAUAACAAAGUUGAAUUAAUUGGAAUGAGAACAAUAUAAAUCCCUUAUCGAGUAACAAUUUCAGGGGCAAGUUCUGGUGCCAGCAGCCGCGGUAAUUCCAGCUGAAAAAGCGUAUACGAAUAUUGUUGCAGUUAAAACGCUCGUAGUUGGAAUAAAAUAUAAAUAAACAAUAAAUUUAACAGUGUUAAUUUUAUUAUUUAUUUUAUUUUUUUAAAUUUUAUAUUUUUUUAAGGUAAUUAAAAAAAUAUAUAUUUUACUUUGAAUAAAUUAGAGUGCUUUAAGCAGAUUGAUUUUUAUGUUAAUAAAAAUCAUUUAAAAAUGUUUGAAUAAUUUAGCAUAGAAUAAAAUAAUAAGAUUUGAAAGAUAAGAUUUGGUAAUUAUGUAGCAAAUAAUGAUAAAUAGGAAUAGUUGGGGGG